rnacentral:lncRNA from 1 species
UGUGUAGGCCAGGCUAUGACUUAGAACUACUGGGGUGACGCGAGAGAUUCCAUGAAAAUAAAUCAAUGGAAAGACUCAACCGUGGAUGAAAAGAACACCUGUAGGGGAAACGGGUAGAUCAGACCAAAUCUGAAAUACUCGAACCAAGAAGGAAAAAGCGAUCUCACUGAGGAAAUACACACUCAAACUUAACUGGGGAAGAGAUGAUCUUCAACACAGGAGUAACAUAAAUGUAUUAUC